rnacentral:lncRNA from 1 species
AUCAACUGUCACCCAGGGGGGGUAACUGAACUCCAAAGGUUAUGGAGAUAGACCACCAAAGGUAUAGAUGAUGUUGUUGCAGAGAAAAAGUGGCAACCAAAAAAGCUAAGGAAGAAGAUGGACAUGUGGAGGUACAAUAUCAAGCCUGAAGAUUCAGGAGUGGAGACCACACGUGGACUUCGGGGGAAUCAUUAAUGAUGCUCCCUUACCUCUAUAGAGUGCAAACAGCUUUACAUACGUUUGUCAAUCUCCAUAAUAACCCUGGCCUAUAGUGAAAGGUAUUUUUAUUCAUUUUACGAAUGAAUAAACCAAACUCAUAGUACUGAAGUAGUUGCUGA